rnacentral:pre_miRNA from 1 species
CUCCACAGCUCCUUCAGGUAAGCUCUGUGCCACUGUUCUUCCCUGCAUAACGGUGGUAAGGGGCCUACCUGGGUGAUCUGGGGG